rnacentral:rRNA from 1 species
UACGGAGGGAGCUAGCGUUGUUCGGAAUUACUGGGCGUAAAGCGCACGUAGGCGGAUUUGUUAGUCAGGGGUGAAAUCCCGGGGCUCAACCUCGGAACUGCCUUUGAUACUGCAAGUCUCGAGUCCGAUAGAGGUGGGUGGAAUUCCUAGUGUAGAGGUGAAAUUCGUAGAUAUUAGGAAGAACACCGGUGGCGAAGGCGGCCCACUGGAUCGGUACUGACGCUGAGGUGCGAAAGCGUGGGGAGCAAACAGG